UUGUAAUGUAUUAAAAAAAUCAGAAGAUUGCUCAUGAAGUUUGUACCUGAUUCUGUACUUAUCUUUCAUUAGCACAUCUAGUAAGAGCCUUGUACACAGUAAUGGAAAUUCCUAUUUGGAUUGGCACCUGCAGAAGCCAGGCCAGUCUCUACAACUCCUGAUCUAUGAGGUUUCCAAACGAAAUUCUGGGGUUCCAGACAGGUUCAGUGGCAGUGGAUCAGGGACAGAUUUCACACUUAAGAUCAGCAGAGUAGAGCCUGAGGAUUUGGGAGUUUAUUAUUGCUUCCAAGGUACACAUUUACCUCC